AGAAUCAACGCUGGCGGCGUGCCUCAGACAUGCAAGUCGAACGAUUAAAGCUCCCUUCGGGGAGUGCAUAAAGUGGCGCACGGGUGAGUAACACGUAAGUAAUCUACCCUCGGGUGGGGAAUAACGUUCGGAAACGGACGCUAAUACCGCAUAAUGCAGCGGCACCGCAAGGUGACAGUUGUUAAAGAUUUAUUGCCUGGGGAGGAGCUUGCGGCAGAUUAGCUUGUUGGUAAGGUAACGGCUUACCAAGGCUACGAUCUGUAUCCGGUCUAAGAGGACGGUCGGACACACUGACACUGAAUAACGGGUCAGACUCCUACGGGAGGCAGCAGUCGGGAAUUUGGGCAAUGGGGGAAACCCUGACCCAGCAACGCCGCGUGAAGGAUGAAGUAUUUCGGUAUGUAAACUUCGAAAAGAAUAGGAAGAAUUAAUGACGGUACUAUUUAUAAGGUCCGGCUAACUACGUGCCAGCAGCCGC
rnacentral:rRNA from 1 species